GCCGGGGUAGCCAAGUGGAUUAAGGCGACAGGCUCGAGACCUGCUGGUGCUCUGCACCCCAUGAGUUCGAAUCUCAUCCCCGGCG
rnacentral:tRNA from 1 species